GACGAACGCUGGCGGCGUGCUUAACACAUGCAAGUCGAACGGAGAGGCCCCCACUUUUUUGGUGGGGGUGCUCGAGUGGCGAACGGGUGAGUAACACGUGGGUGAUCUGCCCUGUACUUCGGGAUAAGCUUGGGAAACUGGGUCUAAUACCGGAUAGGACCAUGGUUUAGUGUCUCAUGGUGGAAAAAUUAUUGUUUUGGUGCAGGAUGAGCUCGCGGCCUAUCAGCUUGUUGGUGGGGUAAUGGCCUACCAAGGCGUCGACGGGUAGCCGGCCUGAGAGGGUGGACGGCCACAUUGGGACUGAGAUACGGCCCAGACUCCUACGGGAGGCAGCAGUGGGGAAUAUUGCACAAUGGGCGCAAGCCUGAUGCAGCGACGCCGCGUGGGGGAUGACGGCCUUCGGGUUGUAAACUCCUUUCGUUAGGGACGAAGCCGCACCUUUUUUGGGUGUGGUGACGGUACCUUUGUUAAGAAGCACCGGCUAACUACGUG
rnacentral:rRNA from 1 species